UUUUUAAUUAAUUAAUUAAUUUUGCUUUAUUUUUUGUCUUUUACAAUAAUACUCACGUGAAUUUUAAAUAAACAUUUUCCACAUCACUUUAUUUUAUUUUUGUUUUAGGGGUGUUUUUGUCCAUUUAUUUUAUUUUUUGUUUUUGGUGAAGCCCUUUAACUCAACUGAUUUUAUGCUGGCUUUAUAAUAGUAGAGAUAAAGUAUUUUUGAGUUGAGUGUCUCUCUCACUCUCUUUUGUUUUGUUUUACAAUAGUAGUUUUCUUGAGGGAGUCUCAGAGAAAACUUUGAAGACUGAAAAAAUAAAACUUGAUUACAAUCUGUCUACAAUUGAGACUGAAACCUCUAUUUAAAAAGCAGAAUCAAGAGUGUCGGCAACAUUGGAUGCUUGAAAUUUUAUUAUUGAAGCAUGGAUCUUUCGCUAUUGCUUUAACUGGAGCAUCAUUCUUACUUUUGACUUUUCUUUUGCUUUUUCUUGCUUUCAUGAUGACUACUUUCAUGAGGACUGUUGGAGAAUAUUAACUAUGUGGCUUUUGCCUUUAUUAACUAGUCUUCACUGAGAUUGUAAGGAUCUUGACUAUCAGGAUAAUUUGCCCACCAAAAUUUUGGGGUAGAAUCUUUUUGACUUGGCGGAAUUUGAGGCAGACCGGUAGAAGAUUGGGACUUUGGAGAAGCAUCAGGAUCAUCUUCUUCAUCAUCCAUUUGGGAAGCUUGGAGCAUUAACUGUCGGGCAAUUUCUUUUAACUCAGACUUGGAUCUUCCUUCGAUUGGGAGGGAAGAGUGAGAUGUGCCAGAGGUGGAAGGCUUCUGGGAAGCAUUGACUGGGGGAAACUCUAUGUUGACUUGAUCAAUGAUUCUUUCGAUUUUGAAUUUAUCCCACCAUUUGACCGAAAAUUGACAAGAUAAGACUCAGGAAUUCCAAUUGACAUGGUAAGACCAUUUUAAAAUCCAGGGAACUUUAUAUUUUGCUAAAAUAUGAGAAGAUUAGGAAAAAAUAAUUAUGACUCCAUGAAUUUAUAUUUAUUGAAAAAAUAAUUAACUGACUCUUGCAUUUGGGGAGGAAGGAUAUCAAUGAUUGGGCCAUGUUUUUCCCACCAAUGAAGAAACUAAUAGAGAAAGGGAAUUUUGAAUUUGCUGUCAAAACUAAUAAACCAUGAGUGACUGAAAUCAAUUGUUUGGUGGAGGAAAAUGGUAUACCAGGCUUCGAUGUAAUCAUAAUAGCAAUAUUGGGGGGGUUGACUGGAGGGUUUUUAGAUCAUAAGGGUGAUGUGAGGAUUAUUGCAGUCUUUGAUUGGCUUAAUUUCCACAGACUGGGUUUCAUUGAGAAUGUCUCUAUAGUAUUUAAGAGACUUGGGUGGAUGUUGGAGAACAUAAUGAAAAUUGGGGGGAAAAUAAGCUUUUGCAAUUGUGACUGGAUUGGAAAAGUUGUCAUAUUUGGACUAAAUGAUAAAAAGAUGAGUUUUACUUCUUGAGGAAUAUGGGGAUGACUUUUGUAAAGGCACUAGAGACUAGGAAAUUUGGGUAUUGAUUUGAAAGGGAUCAUAACUAGAAAUUAAAGUUGACUGAUAAUUUGGGCGGACUUGGCUGACUGUGGAACCAAGGGUAGUGAAUCUAUUUCUGAUUUGGAUGGGGGAGCAUCCCGGGAAAGGGACGAUUUGAGAAGGUGGCUCUGUUUUGACUGGAGUCAUUGAUGCCGGGAGUGUUCUAAGUGAUUGGGGUUGACUGGUUUGACACAUUUGCUCUUUUUGCUUAUUGGGUCUUCUUGCUGCCAUUGUUUUUCCUGGAGAAAUUCUCUAGUAAGAAAAUCUGGAAUGGAGUUCUCACUUCCUCUCAGAUAUUCAAUAUUAAAAUAAAAAAUACUUAAAAUAGCU
rnacentral:lncRNA from 1 species